GCUGGGCAUGGUGGCUCAUGUCUGUAAUCCCAGCACUUUGGGAGGCCGAGGCAGGUGGAUCACCUGAGGUCGGGAGUUCGAGACCACCCCGACCAACAUGGUGAAACCCUGUCUCUA
rnacentral:SRP_RNA from 1 species